rnacentral:misc_RNA from 1 species
GGUAUCAUUAGGAAGUGGUAAUGUUGCAUAUAUUAGUUUUCCUUCUCGAAUCUUAAGUUGAUUUCUCAUAAUUCUUCUUGGUUUGCCUUUCAACUGCAUUAUUGCCUACCAUAGGGUAAAUAAUUAUUUGGGCUUCGUAUGAUUUUAUUCGUUUUAAGGAUUAUAUUCUUUCAUUUUCUUUUUUUUCUUUUCUCUUUGCAUUAUUGUUGGCUGCUGAAUGACUUCUGGCCUUGGCACAAGCUUAAACUGUUAAUUUUUGCAAUAUUGUAAACUGUUAAUUUUUGCUAUAUUGUCUUUUGCAUACUCCUCGUUUUCUGGGGUUGGACUGGAAGCCUUUAGUAGCUUGAUUAAAAUUUAAAAGGGCCUUAUGACUAAAAUACCUCAAACUAGAGACUGAUUGCUGGAGGUCUGUCAAUUUCACUUUAUUAUACCUAUCUCAGCUAUGAUCCUUGAUUGCAGUGGUAGAGAUUAAUGUUUCUUCAAUUGAGGUUUCAUAAUUCAGUUUGAGAACCAUUAUGUUACUGAGUAUGACCUUGAUUAAUGUCUUGCU